rnacentral:rRNA from 1 species
AGAGUUUGAUCCUGGCUCAGGAUGAACGCUAGCGGCAGGCCUAAUACAUGCAAGUCGAGGGGUAGAGUAGGCUUGCUUACUUGAGACCGGCGCACGGGUGCGUAACGCGUAUGCAACCUACCUUUAUCUGGGGGAUAGCCCGGAGAAAUCCGGAUUAAUACCGCAUAAAAUCACAGAAUGGCAUUAUUCAAUGAUCAAACAUUAAUGGGAUAGAGAUGGGCAUGCGUGUCAUUAGCUAGUUGGCGGGGUAACGGCCCACCAAGGCGACGAUGACUAGGGGAUCUGAGAGGAUGACCCCCCACACUGGUACUGAGACACGGACCAGACUCCUACGGGAGGCAGCAGUAAGGAAUAUUGGUCAAUGGAGGCAACUCUGAACCAGCCAUGCCGCGUGCAGGAAGACUGCCCUAUGGGUUGUAAACUGCUUUUAUCCGGGAAUAAACCACGAUACGUGUAUUGUGCUGAAUGUACCGGAAGAAUAA